UACGGAGGGUGCGAGCGUUGUUCGGAAUCACUGGGCGUAAAGCGCACGUAGGCGGCUUUGCAAGUUAGAGGUGAAAGCCCGGGGCUCAACUCCGGAAUUGCCUUUAAAACUGCAUCGCUAGAAUUGUGGAGAGGUAAGUGGAAUUCCGAGUGUAGAGGUGAAAUUCGUAGAUAUUCGGAAGAACACCAGUGGCGAAGGCGACUUACUGGACACAUAUUGACGCUGAGGUGCGAAAGCGUGGGGAGCAAACAGG
rnacentral:rRNA from 1 species